rnacentral:rRNA from 1 species
GUAGUCUCGCACAGAUGCAUAUCAAUAAGCGAGGAAAAGAAACUAACAAGGAUUCCCCUAGUAACGGCGAGUGAAGCGGGAAGAGCUCAAAUUUGAAAUCUUAAAGGGUUUCCCUUUACGAAUUGUAGUUUAAAGAAGUGUUUUCUGUUGAGGUUUUGGUAAAAGUUCUUUGGAAUAGGACAUCAUAGAGGGUGAGAAUCCCGUAUUUGACCUUUACUUUCAACUUUGUGAUACACUUUCAAAGAGUCGGAUUGUUUGGGAAUGCAGUCCAAAAUGGGUGGUAAAUUUCAUCUAAAGCUAAAUAUUGGCGAGAGACCGAUAGCGAACAAGUACCGUGAGGGAAAGAUGAAAAGAACUUUGAAAAGAGAGUUAAACAGUACGUGAAAUUGUCAAAAGGGAAGCGUUUGACACCAGUGUUGUUUUUCUGAAAAUCAAUUAAAGAACUGUUUAUGCUAAGUUGUUUAGACUUUAUCAGCUAUCUGUUUAGUUUUGAGCUUUUCUUUAAUGCACUUUUCAGUUAACAAGUCAACAUCAAUUUCUUUUGCUGUAAAAAAGCUUGAGGAAGGUGGCUUGAGAUUCGUCUUAAGUGUUUAUAGCCUCUUGCCUAUGCAGUCGGAGAGAUUGAGGUCUGCAGCGUAGAUCCUUCGGGGCUAAAUGCAUUUGUGCUAAGUUAUAGCAUUUCAUAGACAACUUGUUGACUAUGAUUUGUCUUGUAGCUUACUCGCUUAUGUUAUUUUACCUACGCUUAGGAUGUUGACAGCAGUAUAGACUGU